rnacentral:rRNA from 1 species
CCUACGGGAGGCAGCAGUGGGGAAUAUUGCACAAUGGGGGCAACCCUGAUGCAGCAACGCCGCGUGAGUGAAGAAGUAAUUCGUUAUGUAAAGCUCUAUCAGCAGGGAAGAAAAUGACGAUGCCUGCGUAAGAAGCCGCGUCGAACUACGUGCCAGCAGCCGCGGUAAUACGUAGGGGGCAAGCGUUAUCCGGAUUUACUGGGUGGAAAGGGAGCGUAGACGGCAGGGCAAGUCUGGAGUGAAAGGCGGGGGCUCAACCCCCGGACUGCUUUGGAAACUGUAUGGCUGGAGUGCAGGAGAGGCAAGUGGAAUUCCUAGUGUAGCGGUGAAAUGCGUAGAUAUUAGGAGGAACACCAGUGGCGAAGGCGGUUUACUGGACUGUAACUGACGCUGAGGCUCGAAAGCGUGGGGAGCAAACAGGAUUAGAUACCCCAGUAGUC